rnacentral:rRNA from 1 species
CUCGUAGGCGGUUCGUCGCGUCCGGUGUGAAAGUCCAUCGCUUAACGGUGGAUCCGCGCCGGGUACGGGCGGGCUUGAGUGCGGUAGGGGAGACUGGAAUUCCCGGUGUAACGGUGGAAUGUGUAGAUAUCGGGAAGAACACCAAUGGCGAAGGCAGGUCUCUGGGUCGUCACUGACGCUGAGGAGCGAAAGCGUGGGGAGCGAACA